ACAGGAAACCGGUGCGAAUCCGGUGCGGUCCCGCCACUGUGACCGGGACCCCGCCCACGGGGUCCCGGGAGUCAGACACUG
rnacentral:ncRNA from 1 species